rnacentral:rRNA from 1 species
CCUACGGGUGGCAGCAGUGGGGAAUAUUGCACAAUGGGGGAAACCCUGAUGCAGCGACGCCGCGUGAGCGAUGAAGUAUUUCGGUAUGUAAAGCUCUAUCAGCAGGGAAGAAAAUGACGGUACCUGACUCAGAAGCCCCGGCUAACUACGUGCCAGCAGCCGUGGGAAUACGGAGGGGGCCAGCGUUAUCCGGAUUUACUGGGUGUAAAGGGAGCGUAGACGGCUGUGCAAGCCAGAUGUGAAAGCCCGGGGUUCAAACCCGGGACUGCAUUUGGAACUGGGUGGCUGGAGUGUCGGAGAGGCAGGCGGAAUUCCUAGUGUAGCGGUGAAAUGCGUAGAUAUUAGGAGGAACACCAGUGGCGAAGGCAGCCUGCUGGACGAUGACUGACGUUGAGGCUCGAAAGCGUGGGGAGCGAACAGGAUUAGAUACCCUUGUAGUC